rnacentral:rRNA from 1 species
UACGGAGGGUGCAAGCGUUGCUCGGAAUUAUUGGGCGUAAAGGGUAGGUAGGUGGUCUCAUUUGUCUGGGGUGAAAGCCUUGAGCUUAACUCGAGAAGUGCCCCAGAAACGGUGAGACUAGAGUCCUGGAGAGGGUCGUGGAAUUCCCGGUGUAGCGGUGAAAUGCGUAGAUAUCCGGAGGAACACCGGUGGCGAAGGCGGCUUCCUGGACCGAUUACUGACGCUGAGGCGCGAAAGCUAGGGGAGCAAACGGG